GCAUUCUUGGUGCUCUCAUGUUCCUCUUGCUAUGUAGCUUUGGUAUAAAUCUUGAUCUAAUCAUUUCACCUCCAUAAACCUGUGCACCUCCUACCACUCCACCCUCAUACUGAUGGUACUGAUACUGUGGUGGAACUGAUGAUGUCCCCAUUCUAUGAACAGGAAAAGAACUGCAGGGAUCACCUGGAGAAGAACAUGGAUAAGGAGUGCAGGAUGAUGAAUAUGGUAUUUGGUUAAAGCAAAAUCUGGGAUCCAUUUCCCCAGAAUUGAUGUUCCAGCUGCUGUAAACUGGAAUCCCCUUUAUGGGUUUGAAGCCUGAGAUCCCAUGAUUUAUAUGACUCACAGAGCCACUCUUAGCACGUUGAAGAAGAAUAUUUCUUUGCCUUGCUUGAUCGGCUUCUCUGCAGCCAACAUCACCGCCGCCACCUCCAGCGUAGCUUAUUCUUCUCCAAGGGCUUUCUACUUCUAAAGCUAUAGAGGCUGCUGGAUUUGCCGCCAGAGAAAGCUCGAUGGUGUCAUCUGGUUCAGGCCCAACUUUUAUUGAACUGUCGCUGUGUGAUUUCAGGGCAUCAUCUCUGCACCAAACAUCAAAAGUUGAAUCAUCAGCAUCAUUUGUGCCAGUGCAUAUAGAGGACGGAGCACUAUUUGGAAGGCUUAUGUGAAGUGAGAGGUCUGGAAUCUGAUUCAAAGAUUGGUUAUCAAAAAUUCCUCCUUUAUGGGACAUUUUUAUUCCCAAAGAAAUGGGGUUGAAGCAGCUGCGAUCGUUUUUUUCUCAAUAUAGAGAAUCCACAACUAAAUUUAUUUCUCUUCAAGUACAGAUAUGAUUUGGAAAAGAAAACCACAAAAAAAGAAAGAAAAGAAAAGAAAAGAAACUGUGUGAAAGAGAAGGGGGG
rnacentral:misc_RNA from 1 species